rnacentral:lncRNA from 1 species
CGCAUCAGCCUCUUCCAGGUGCUCAGUCCUGGACUCAGGCAAAAAUAGAUUCAUUAUCAAGGGCUCUGGAAGACGAGCUGUUUUGGAUGCUCCAGCUGGAAUACCACUCACAAAAGCCAUCCCUCUUACUAAGCAAAAGCUCACCUGAAUGCCCAUCCCCUCUCAAAGCUCAAGUGGAGUCUUUGCCACAGACAAAGCAAUUGCUGCCCCCUAGUGGCACACAGGGACAGGCCCCGGGGAUGUGUGUGACUAGACAGCAUAUGAUACCAGCUUGAGGAAGGAAAGUCAGAGGACAGAACGCCUCACAGUUGCCCUUUUUAUUAAAAAUAGACCCAAACACUUUAUGUAUCAUACAAAAGUUUCAUUCGCUGGUGGCAGCCACGAGGAAGCCUGACCCCGCAGCAUUAUUUUCCCACCUCCCCUCCAAAGGACUGGAUUCCAGGGAGCAGUGGCUGGACCUCGGAGAAUGCCGGGCCUGGGAUUUGGGAUUUUUGCUUCCACCCCCAAAUCCUUUCUUCUACAAAUGGGGGUGGGAAACUUUCCCCCCGAGAGAUUCUGGAAUCUCCCUGCAUCUGAGGCCAAAAUUUCACUCCAACGCAAGCUUCUUCUCUGCUAUUCUGUGGCCAAGCAUCUACCAGCCCCAUGACUCAAGGUUUGUCCUCUGUUCACUCAAAGAGGUGGAGCAAAAACGUUCCUCCUAAGGUCCUCUCUGCCUGAGUCUACGCCCUGCCAUCGCCUCGAUUUUCAGGACCUUGGGGCCAGAAGGACCCAGAACCAUCCCUUUGCCCCAGUUCUGUCUCCCUGACUGCUGCCCACUCCUGAGCCUUGAACACCCCUGGGGUACCCCAGACCCCUGUUCCAAAGGGGCCUGGGAGUGAUGGGUGGAGGCGGGGGAGGGGUUGGUGG